rnacentral:rRNA from 1 species
CCUACGGGAGGCAGCAGUGGGGAAUAUUGCACAAUGGGGGAAACCCUGAUGCAGCGACGCCGCGUGAGUGAAGAAGUAAUUCGUUAUGUAAAGCUCUAUCAGCAGGGAAGAAAAUGACGGUACCUGAGUAAGAAGCCCCGGCUAACUACGUGCCAGCAGCCGCGGUAAGACGUAGGGGGAAAGCGUUCUCCGGAUUUACUGGGUGUAAAGGGAGCGUAGACGGCAGUGCAAGUCUGGAGUGAAGGGCGGGGGCUCAACCCCCGGACGGCGCUGGAAACUGUACGGCUGGAGUGAAGGAGAGGUAAGUGGAAUUCCUAGUGUAGCGGUGAAAUGCGUAGAUAUUAGGAGGAACACCAGUGGCGAAGGCGGCUUACUGGACUGUAACUGACGUUGAGGCUCGAAAGCGUGGGGAGCAAACAGGAUGAGAUACCCGGGUAGUC